ACCUCACAUCUUCACUAUAGAGCCCCUACUUCCCCCAGUCCUGGCACCCUAGGAUAGGGCCCACUUUCCCGUAUGCAUCUCCCAAUCCAAACUAAAUAAUAUUGCAUCCGCCGAUCACAACCUAACCAAAGCAACGAUUGCCAUCACAACAUGCUUCACCUCAGACUGUAUCCAGAGACUUCACGUGUGGAAUGACAACCCUUCAGCUUCAUUACUCGGGUUCCAGAUGCCACCAGGAUGCUGAUGCUGGCCAGGCUUCCCUGGAUUGAAGACCCCACCAAUGUGUCCUGAAGCUCAGCUUCCCCAAAGACACACCCUACUA